rnacentral:rRNA from 1 species
GAUGAACGCUGGCGGCGUGCCUAAUACAUGCAAGUCGAACGCAUUGUGGUUGAAAUGAUAUGAAGAACUUGUUCAGAUUUGAUUUUCAACAUUGCAAUGAGUGGCGAACGGGUGAGUAACACGUGGGAAACCUACCUCUUAGCAGGGGAUAACAUUUGGAAACAAAUGCUAAUACCGUAUAAUAAUUAAAACCGCAUGGUUUUAGUUUAAAAGAUGGUCUUGCUAUCACUAAGAGAUGGUCCCGCGGUGUAUUAGUUAGUUGGUGAGGUAAUGGCUCACCAAGACAAUGAUACAUAGCCGAGUUGAGAGACUGACCGGCCACAAUGGGACUGAGACACGGCCCAUACUCCUACGGGAGGCAGCAGUAGGGAAUCUUCCACAAUGGACGAAAGUCUGAUGGAGCAACGCCGCGUGUGUGAUGAAGGGUUUCGGCGUCGUAAAACACUGUUGUAAGAGAAGAAUGACAGUUGAGAGUAACUGUUC